GCCAGACAUGGGGGUGUGUGCCUGUAGGCCCAGCUACUCAGGAGGCUGAGACAGGAGGAUAGCUUCAGUCCAGGAGUUCUGGGAUAUAGUGCACUAUGCCGAUCAGGUGUCCACACUAAGUUCAACAUCAAAAUGGUGACUUCCCGGGAGCCGGGGGCCACCAGGUUACCUAAGGAGGGGUGAACCAGCCCAGGUCAGAAACAGAGCAGGUCAAAACUUCCAUGCUGAUCAGUAGUGGGAUCGCGCCUGUGAACAGCCACUGCACUCCAGCCUGGGCAACAUAGCAAGACCCUGUCUCUA
rfam:Otolemur garnettii contig044020, whole genome shotgun sequence.